rnacentral:rRNA from 1 species
AAAUUUUUCUUCGGAAAGAGAGUAGAGUGGCGCACGGGUGAGUAACGCGUAAGUUAUCUACCUCGGCAUCUGGAAUAACUCACCGAAAGGUGUGCUAAUACCGGAUACGUUGAGUAAUCAAGAAAGGUGGCCUCUGAAUAUGCUACUGUGCUGAGAUGAGCUUGCGUACCAUUAGCUAGUUGGUAKGGUAAUGGCCUACCAAGGCGACGAUGGUUAGCGGGUCUGAGAGGAUGAUCCGCCACACUGGAACUGGAACACGGACCAGACUCCUACGGGAGGCAGCAGUGAGGAAUAUUGCGCAAUGGGGGCAACCCUGACGCAGCGACGCCGCGUGGAUGAUGAAGGCCUUCGGGUCGUAAAAUCCUGUCAAGUGGAAAGAAGUGCAUGGUGGUUAAUACCCAUCAUGUUUGACGGUACCACUGAAGGAAGCACCGGCUAACUCCGUGCCAGCAGCCGCGGUAAUACGGAGGGUGCAAGCGUUGUUCGGAAUUACUGGGCGU